UCUAGCUUUGUUAACUUCUGUACUCUGUAAUUCUUGGGUCAACCUCGUAGCUUGUUGAGUAAUAGUUUCCCUUUCGAUCAUCUUUGGGUCGAAUAUCGCCUGAUUUCUUCUUUUCCAAAUAAACUAGAUUACAGAACUGAAGAAAGAUGGCCAGUUUUCAAUUGAUGGUGAUAGGGAUUGGGUUGUUUCUAGAUUUUCGGUGAUCCACUCCUUGAUGUUGAUACUCAGGAACUUAUCCAAAUUCUGGGUAUCAAUCAAUUCUGCCCACAUCAGUAAUGUUCUCGGGCAGUAUCUCAGCAAAUGGUUUAAAUAUUCUGUUUCAUAGUUUACAUAGGGCAACUUGCAUCUGUCGUCAUGUGCCUGCGCACUCUUUCCAGAUUGGUUAGUAUUCUAUCUUUCCCAAUGAGCCAUAGAAACGCUUUAAUCCUGCGAAUAUUGUUAUGCUUUGCAAUGAUACUCCAAAUAUUUUCUUCUGUUGAAAUGUUAUUUGCUAUCACUUUAUACGUCGAUUUGACUGAGAAAACUCUUUUCUCCGAGGGAGUCCAACCUGGUGAGUCAGCAAGGAAUUCUUCCACAGGAGGAGGGGUAGCUUUCAAUUUAUUUAUGAUUCGAUCCGGGAGUAGUCUUGUGAGCUUAUUCCAGUCCCAGGAAUUGCAUUGAGGACUAAUUUAGCAAGUAUAAUUCUUCCCGCUAAUGAUAAAGUUUUAGCCUUUCAACCUGCAAGUCUAUCUUUUACUCUUUGGAUGAUGCUGUUGUAAGUUCUUUUGUUGAUCCUGUUAUGGAGCAGAGGAACUCCCAGAUAAUUCCCAAGGUUCACUUUUUGACCCGAGCUGCUACAGAAUUUAUGAAGAGUGUUCUGAUUGAUUUCAAUUUGAGAAAUAUCGGCUUCCGCAAAAAAAUAAGGUCGUCUGCAAAAAAGAGAUGACAAAGAGGUACGGAGAUAAUGGACUACCCUGUCUGAUUCCCCUAGUCGGUUUAAAAUGCUAGGGUUGGAUUUGACAUCACCAUGACUGAUCAAGAUGACGAUUAUUUGUUAUCAUAUUGAUCUUCUCUGCUUUGGACCAUCAUAUUGAUUUGGAUAUGCGUUUUGCGUUCGUGAAUAGUUUUUCCAUGUCGCUUGACUUUGAUUUGCGAUUUGUUGGUGGUUUUUAAAUAGUUUCAUCCCCUUCUGUGGUUCGUUUGUCGAUACAGUCAGAUUUGUUCGUAUCUUUAUUUUUCGAGCAUUUUGG